rnacentral:rRNA from 1 species
GUCUAAGGCCAUGCCACCCUGAACAAGCCCGAUCUCGUCUGAUCUCGGAAGCUAAGCAGGGUCGAGCCUGGUUAAUACUUGGAUGGGAGACCAUCUAGGAAGACCAGGUGCUGCAGGCG